GUCUACGGCCAUACCACCCUGAACGCGCCCGAUCUCGUCUGAUCUCGGAAGCUAAGCAGGGUCGGGCCUGCUUAGUACUUGGAUGGGAAAAUAAAAAUUACAUUUAUUCAACAUGAUGAUCAAUUCAGGCAGGACU
rnacentral:rRNA from 1 species